GGCCUAACACAUGCAAGUCGAGGGGUAUAUUUCUUCGGAGAUAGAGACCGGCGCACGGGUGCGUAACGCGUAUGCAAUCUACCUUUUACAGAGGGAUAGCCCAGAGAAAUUUGGAUUAAUACCUCAUAGUAUAUAGACUCGGCAUCGAGAUUAUAUUAAAGUCACAACGGUAAAAGAUGAGCAUGCGUCCCAUUAGCUAGUUGGUAAGGUAACGGCUUACCAAGGCUACGAUGGGUAGGGGUCCUGAGAGGGAGAUCCCCCACACUGGUACUGAGACACGGACCAGACUCCUACGGGAGGCAGCAGUGAGGAAUAUUGGACAAUGGGCGCAAGCCUGAUCCAGCCAUGCCGCGUGCAGGAUGACGGUCCUAUGGAUUGUAAACUGCUUUUAUACGAGAAGAAACACUCCUUCGUGAAGGAGCUUGACGGUAUCGUAAGAAUAAGGAUCGG
rnacentral:rRNA from 1 species